rnacentral:rRNA from 1 species
AUACGUAGGGGGCAAGCGUUAUCCGGAUUUACUGGGUGUAAAGGGAGCGUAGACGGAAUGGCAAGUCUGAUGUGAAAGGCCGGGGCUCAACCCCGGGACUGCAUUGGAAACUGUCAGGCUAGAGUGCAGGAGGGGUAAGCGGAAUUCCUAGUGUAGCGGUGAAAUGCGUAGAUAUAAGGAAGAACACCAGUGGCGAAGGCGGAUUACUGGACGACAACUGACGGUGAGGCGCGAAAGCGUGGGGAGCAAACAGGAUUAGAUACCCUGGUAGUCCACGCUGUAAACGAUGAAUACUAGGUGUAGGGGGUAUCGACUCCCUCUGUGCCGCAGUUAACACAAUAAGUAUUCCACCUGGGGAGUACGAUCGCAAGAUUGAAACUCAAAGGAAUUGACGGGG